UUACAUGUUUACACAUAAUUUAAGGUUACUGGUUUUCAAUAUAGACUUAUGCUUUUAUUUUUGUUGGUUAUAGCACAUUUUUGUAGCUUUUAAAGUUUGUUCUUGAACAUAUACAUCGUUCAUCUUGCAAUUGCCUGAAAAGGUAUUUUACUGAUAGAACCGCUCUCCUCAGUUAAUGGGAAAGUACUACCUACAAGAAUAGAUCACAAUAACACAAAGAAAAUCAGUUAGCAAAAUAAAAAGCUACCAAGCAAAUUUAUAGCAGACUGGGAUUCAGUUGAGUCAUCUGGAUGUUAUAAGUGUUUGCAUUAACAACAGCCGGGUUAUCAAAUAUCGGGAUGCAAGGCUCCACCUUUAAGAUCAGCUUAGAUUACAGGAUUCAAAAUACAUCAACUAAUGCGAAAGCAGUAUAUCUUUUGCGUGUACUGCUGUAUCUGUUCAUUUUCAAAAUGCAGAUUUCGACAUAAACCGUCACCUUCUUGAUUAACUGCGUAGAAUAAUGUCUAAAAAUACCAAGCUGGUUUACCACAAAUCAAAUAUAAUACAUAUUGUAGAUACCGUGUAACUAAAUAAGGUAAAAUAGUUCUUUAAACAAGUAAUAUUCAUUUGAUUAAACCUAGGGUGUUGUAAGACAAUGGAUUCUGGACGCAUACUGUUUUCAGAACAUGUUUUCUUUCAUCCGUAAAUAUUUGGUAAAGCUAUUUAUGAAUUAAACGCAUGACUAUAAAAACUCGAAUUUACUUACAUUACUUGAACACCUCUUGGACUCGUCAACAACGAAGACAAUAGUGUGUAACUUGAUGUAAAUCAAGCGGUCUUUUAUCAUACAAGAAAUUAUAAAAUAAAAAAGCAAUACGUAACAUGUAUAUUAUCGACAGCGCUGGAACUAUUCAGAUUACAUGCAUACACCAGUUCGAUGGAUAUAAUGAAACACAGUUUAAAUGCAGCAGCAAUGAAAUAUGCUGUGGAGAUCAGUGUUGCGACAUUGAUAUCACCGGUAACCCUCUCUUCUGAUAACAGCGAUCUUCAUCUCAAAAGUACCGAUACUACUGACAGUGAUGAACAAGGCUGUAACCCCAAAACAGUUUUAUUCCCACAGCACGCCCAGUAAUCAAAAUGAUAGUUGAUAACAACAUACAUUACAAUAUAAAACUAUUUCAGAUUAAGAUUCGUCCGUUGUUAAGGACAUUUUGAAUUUAGUUAGUUAGUUGGUGACUUUUCAUUCUUUUGCACUUGUAUCACCAUAAAUAUACAUUAAUUGCACAAUAAAAAUCUGACAGUUUUAUAUCCAAAUCUCUACAUAGAUAUUAAAUUCGCGGUAAGGGAUAUGUAGUUAAAUUUAAGUACCAAUUUAAUGCAAAUAAACUGCAAAUAUUCUGUUUACAAACACGGAAAUCUGUAAUAUCAGAGGGUCUGUUUUGCUAUUUUUGAAGUACCUGACAGUGUGCUUUUAUUUUCACAAUGUUUUAUUGUUCAUUGACUGCACUUCAAGUCAUUUUAUAAGCAGUGUAUUUAAGAGUAAAAAUAAAACAUACUAGGGAUGAAAGAUCAAAGUUAUGUCAGUGUUUUAUCUGUUUGACAUACAACAAACGAAUCAGUUUGAUAAGAAGUGCCACCGAUUUAUUGCUUAAAGUAUAGAAGGUUCUUUAUCCAGACUAGACAAAUUUAUCAGAGAAGGGAUGAUCAUAGUGCAAAGGUAAAUUUAAUCACCAUUUGCACAAUUGACAACAAUUUUAUUCAGCUAUACGGAAAUAAACUAGUCCCUUUUUAAAUCUCCAACAUUUUCACAACGUAUCCAGCUGUUUCGAGUUUAGUAUCAAUCCUUCUCAUCUUUCAGCUAUCAUUAGGUACAGCGAUUUUGAAAAAAAGAACUUGUUUCGACCUUUUGUUUAAGUCCUCGGACAACGUCAAUGUCAGCUCGAAAUAUAACACGUUAGUUCACAACUUAUGGUGACAAUAUGUAUCAAAAUUCUGUUUGUCUAACAAAUACAAUCUAAUUUGCAUGUUGUAAAUAGAAAACUUAUAUUAGGAAAACACAGUAAUGAAAAUAACAUUAGAUUUGAUUACUCGUAGGUUUUUAUCGAAUUCAAACUAAGUUAGAAACUAUUAUUAAGUAUACAGUACUUAUUGAAGAUCAGUUUAUCUAGCUGCCAAAACAAUAUGUUAAAAAAAAAACAAAAACAAAAAGAAAACGAGCAGCUUGUGAUGUUGCCAUUUUCAAUUAUGCAUUUUGUAUUCUUCUGAUAUUGUCCUGUAAUUGUGGGAAAUAAUUGAUGCAUUACACAUCUUGAAAUAAAUAGAAUGAGGCAGUAUAACCUAUUUAGCUGAAGCGGAUCCCCCUGAGCUUUCACCUAGCAUUGAAAUCUACUACUAUUAUUAUUGUUAUCAUUGUUAUUAUGUGUAACGUGCCCUUGAAAACUAUAUUGACAUGACAAAUAUAGCAUAGAAUAAAUAUUCUUUCAUCAGAUCUGAAUUCUAUUGCAUUUUGUGGUAGGAGUUUAGAGUAUUUGCCAAAAAAAUAAUCGCAGUCUCCAGAUCAAUAACAAUGAGCAUAGAUAAUAUACAAUGUAUCAAUGUUCACCUGAGAUAUUACAUGUCGAGGCACGAUCUAACCGUACAUUUGAUUUUUUUUUACAAUCUUUCAUGUAUGGGUAAAAUAGUAUUUAAGAUCGUUAGAUCUUAAGAUUGGCUGAUUAAACUUUCAUACGUUGUAAAUCGAAGUAAUGAAUAGUACGAGCGAAGCAUUUCACUUCCCUGUUAAAAAGCUUACUGUGGUGUUGCUUUCAGUCAUAUUUGUAAAUAAUGGCUGAGGACGAACUAGAGAGGUUUAAGCCAGUUGCUGACAGUUGUUCGUCAGAAGACGAAAUAGAUACAGUUACACCCUUUAUGGCAAAAAGUAAAAGCAAAAGGGGAUUUAAAUACAAAAAAAAAAUGAUCAGUUAGUUUAGUUUAUAUCACAUUGAUUAUAUUGAUGCCAUUUAAACGUAGUAGAAAGAAAGCCCUUUGUAGAGUAUUUUUGGAGUUAUGUAUAAUUAAUUUUUGAUAAAUUCAUACAAACUACGUGAAUUGUCAGAUGAUUAAAAUUUUAAUUACUCUGAAAACGAAUUGAUAAAUGCAAAAAUAUUGUUUCAUAUCAUUGCAAAUGUUACUAUUUGUCUUGUCAGAGACAGUCUUUUUGGAAAAUGAUAACGUUCAUUUGUUUUCAUGUUAAGAAAACAAAGUUGAUGAGAAUCUUAGAAGAAUAGAAAUAGUACGGGAAAAAAACGACGGACCUGUCAACACCUUCCUGAAUAGGGACAUAUUUUUUUUUCACAUAGGUAUGCUUAUCUUGUUAAAGAAAUAAUUAUUAAAUCAAUAGAAACAACUGGUAUUGUAAAGUGUGUAUAUAAUUAACACAUGAAAAAACUGAGUUACAAUAACUAAUUUCAAUUAUGUCGCAUAUGCAGUAUCAACCCAUAACCUUAAAUAGAUAUUAUUAUUUUUGCCGAUAUUGGCAUAUAUGCGACAUCACCCUACCAGAGUGGAAAUAUAUUUAAUGUUUUCAUAAGCAUCUUUUUCAUUCUGGAAUUUGUUUGUUUCGUUCUAGUAAAAUAAAUAUCUCGUGCACUUGAAAAUGACAGCGGAUACUGUGAACCUGAGAAAUUGUAUGUCUUGGUCCCACAAUAGCCGAUUUCACCCUCUAAUACAUUUGAUAUUUAUGUGAAUAUCAUAUUCAGUUUGAUAAGCUACUGCAAAAGCAGAUCACUUUACUUAACAUAUUUUAGAGAUAUGGAGAAAAUUUUGGACUCAUACGAGAAAGGGGAAAGGUUUUAUUUGUACACAAGUAGAGGACCUUCUUCAGAAGCCAUGCAUAUUGGACAUCUUAUUCCCUUCGUGUUCUCGAAGUAAAUUACCACUAUUAAAGAAUACACAUUAACUGGUACAUCUGGAAUAUCAUGUCCUAUUUUCAAAACUAGAAUACCUUUCAGUCCUGUUUUGAGACCAGAUUUCUCAAUGAUAGAUACAGAAAUAUAACAAAUGUGAUACAGUUAGUGAAAAUCUUUCUAACUGGCAAUCGUUAAUACCUAGAUCAAUUGCUACAAGUAAAUGUUUAUUUAUUAAUGUGACACGUGCAAUUUACACAUAAAUAAUACAAUUUUCAUAUAACAAAUUAUUUGCACCCGGCCCUGUGGGCCUAUAAGUCACCUCAUAUUUUAACAUAUAUAAAGAUGUAGUGUGAACAGAGUUAUCAAUACAUUUGUAGCAACUACAAUUUGACGCAGUCUUAUCAUGUUAUUAUAUUAUCAUGUUAUAAUAAUAAAUAAAAACAAUUCAAAGUGUAACGAGAACAUCUUUCGUCAUACAUAUAAAAGAAAUGUUUCACAUUUAAUACACAAAAAUAGAACACGAAUUAUCAGUGAAACAGACAAUUUUUACGCUUUAAAUAUGCAUCCAUUAAGAACUUAGCUAAUCUUCUUGGGUAAAUGUUCACAGGAUAUACAAGUUUCUCAGAGUCGCUCAUACUUAUGUAAAUAUCCCCUAAAGCAAUGUCAUUAAAAGCCCGCCCGCUUAGCUCAGUAGGUAGAGCGUCGGUCUACGGAUCGCGGGGUCGUGCGUUCGAUCCUCGGGCGGGGCGUAUGUUCUCCGUGACUAUUUGAUAAACGACAUUGUGUCUGAAAUCAUUAGUCCUCCACCUCUGAUUCAUGUGGGGAAGUUGGCAGUUACUUGCGGAGAACAGGUUUGUACUGGUACAGAAUCCAGGAACACUGGUUAGGUUAGCUGCCCGCCGUUACAUGACUGAAAUAAUGUUGAAAAACGGCGUUAAACCCAAAACAAACAAACAAACAAUGUCAUUAAAGUAUUGCAACCUUAAAUUGUUGUAAAAGGUACAGUUGAUAACAAAAUGGAUUUCGUCUUCAAUUAGUCCCGUAUCACACAUUUUACAGAGUCUUUGCUCGAUGCGUUCUCCUAUAUAUCGCUCAGUCUCUACUCGAAUUGGUAAAAUGCCACACCUUAACUGUGCAAGAAGAGAUCGUUCAUUACGUUUUAAAUUUAAAUCUACAUAUUGUUUUUUUUAAAUUCAGUUUUAAACAGUCUGUAAGCUCGUAAUUUAGGUACCGUUAUAACAUUUUCCUUCCAGGCAUUUAAGUAAUAGUUCCUUAUAUGCGUGUUUGCUUUGUUUAAUUGGAUAACUGUACGGUUAUUGAAAUGGUCUAUAAGACCUACUUUUGUUAAAACAUGAGUGGGGUCAAAAUAAUUGAAAUUUACACAAACAAAGAAGUUUGUUUUCUGUUUGUUUUUAUUGGGUUCCAGUUACUAUGACACUACUUUAUUAAGGUCAUAUUGCGGCUUUUCAACUUGUUAUGGUAGAAGACGAUUCUAGGUGCCCAUUAAGCUAUUGUUUCAGACAUGAGUAGAACUAUCAAACUUCUUUAAGGUAGCCAGAUAACGUCCUCACAUGUUGACUUCUAACCUACGUUUAUCCAAAUGAAUACUACUAAAACGUUACAAUAUGUUUUAUUUCAGGUGGCUACAAGAAACAUUUGAUGUUCCUCUUGUGAUACAGAUGUCUGAUGAUGAAAAGUAUUUUUCCGAGGACUUGAAAAAUUGUUAAGAAAGCAUAUCAAUAGAAACUAUAAAGAAAUUAGUUAAAUGAAAUGAGUAAGCGCAUUACUCUGAAUAUCUUAAAUUCGAGCAAUAUGUUCUGACUGCUAUUAAGCAAUAAAUUGUUAAUUUGGCUGUUUAAUGGGUGGCCCAAAGCUAUCAUGCGCGCAGACAACUCAAUGUGUUUUAUAUAUUGUUGUUAACUACAUAAUCAUGAUUUGGUCCUUUUAUGUACAGCUAAGUUGUUUUUCUUUCUGUAAAAUUGAUUUAUUUGAUUCAACGUUGAAUGUUUUAAAGUAAAAGAUCUCUGAAACAACGUUUCUAGGUCAACUAAAGGCAACAGUUAAAAUAGCAAACAUUGGAACUUUGGAGAAAAUGUUCGUACUUUAAAUGACAACGUGACGUGACUCAAUCGAGACUUCUGAAAUGUUCCGCCAUUGGAGUCACAAGUUGCAUCGAAAUUCUGUAAAUAUCAGUUGAAUACAUGUAUAGCUUUAUCUAAGGAAAGUCACUGUAAAUAUUUAACGAUGAUCUGAUUCACCCAAAUUUGUUUUACGUUUUUUUGGGUUGCAGCCCUGAGUAUCACAAAAACAUAUGCCGAGUCCAGAAGCGUAUCAGGGUGUCAAUGAUGAAAAGCGUCUUUGAUUUUAAGGACGAAGGUAACAUCGGAAAAAUAAUUUUUCCAGCAAUACAGGCUGCUCCUUGUUUCAGCUCUUCUUUCCCUCACAUAUUCUACGGCAAGAGAGAUGUGCCAUGCUUGGUACCAUGUGCCAUAGAUCAGUUUCUCCUUUAGGACUGUUACUUUGUCUUGACGAGAGAGGUAGCCACCAAAAUGGACUGUAAAAUGCCAGCUCUUAUUCACGGCAAAUUUGUUCCAUCUUUAAAACAAGGAGUUCAAUCUAAAAUGAGUUCCAGUAUGGAUGAACCGUCCAUUUGUUUGAAUGAUACAGACGAAGCAAUUGAAAGAAAGAUACGCGCCUACAAUCCAAACCCAAUCUCUGAAAGUGAGAAAAAAGACAUGGGUUUGAGAAAAAGUUAAGUUGAUGUCAUUUGGCAUUAUCUAUACUUCUUCAUGAAAGAUGAUGAGGUUUACACACUAGAACAGAAAUACGAUACAGGUGAAAUUCAGUCUGAUGUUUCUGAAAGAAAAACUGAUUGAGAUUCUGAAGAAAACAAUCGGCGAAAUUAGACAAAGACGGAAACAAGUCACGGACGAGAUGGUUGAUAGGUUCAUGACACCGAGACAACUGAACUACAAGUACAAUCAUGGGUCCACAGAAAUGUUGUAGCUCAAAAACAAAAACUUGUGAUUUAAACAUUGUUAUAAAUUCAAAUUUAACGGUAUGAAAGACAAACAAAUAGAUAUAGUAUGUCUCCAGAUAAAACAUCAAAUUUCUAUUUCUACGACUUCUUUCAUCAUGUUCAUUAUGUUUAUAAUUUCCAGUUUAUUAUGCUAUCUUUUUUGUCACAUUGCAAUAACUGUCAUCUUAACAUUUAAGGCAAUUAAAAUAUAAUAUUAUGGAUAGAAAGUAAGAGUGGAAACUCUAUUAACUUGCAAUAAACUAUAAAUCCUGUGUUGUUAAAUAUGCCAUAUAGUGAUAGUUAUUAAAACAAUCCAUUGACUUUUUAGCCGAUAAGUUUGCUUGUACUGUUUAAUGAUACAUGCAGUUAAAUUAGCAGUUGUGCCACAUAAACAGACAUAUAAAUACGUAUUAUGAUGUAUAUUCAUGAGAUGUAUAUAUCAAAUAAACGUUUAUAUACGUAUACAAUGCGUAAUCACAUUGCAAAGCUUACACGACAAUUAAAAUGUCAAUAUUGUAAAUAUAUCACCUUUCUUCAAAUGCUUUAUCAUCAUUUGUAGUGAAUAAUAUUUAUUUAGAUUUAAAUCAUACGCUGUAUGGAAAUAUAAGUCGGAAUUUAGUCACGUCACUUUUACAAAAAGAGGUGAAUGUUAAAUAAACUUUCAUAUGACUCAAUCUUACCUUGAGAAGGCGUUCGUAAGAGAUUAAAUGCAGAGGAGCGGCAAAAAGUUAUCCCGGUGGAUAUGUUUUUGAGUUUGCAUAUAUAUUGUUUCUAAUAUUAGUUUGACGAUAACGAAACGGAUGUUAUUAAAACGAAAUAAACAAGAUAAAAUACUAAAGCGUUUAUUACUGAUGUAUGAAUUAUAGCAAAUUACUUGAAAUUGAUGUAUCUAUCGACCAUAUCACAAGUGAAAAACUACAAAAGACCGAGGAUGUAAAAGUAAAUGUAGUCAGGGGAAGAUAUUAGUAAAUAGCCGCUAUGACCCGACACACAUUGAAAAGCUAAGAAAUGAACUGAGUUCCAAUCAAUAUCAACAGUGCGCAUUGAAAUAGAUGUUCGCAAUAUGAUUUCUGUUACUCUUAUUUCGCGUGGUUAAAAAUUCAAAAGUUCCAAAUUACUAUUUUGACGGCCUGAAAAGAGUUACGACUAGAUAGCGAUCCAAAGUCUUCGAACAAUGAAGACAUUCAAGCUGUUCAUAAAGGAUUUGCUUUAUCUAUAUUCAUACGGACAAACACGUACA